CAGUCGUGAGGAAGGCGGCGUCGUUAAUAGCGGCGUUGUUUGACGUUAGCGACAGAAGAAAGCACCGGCUAACUCCGUGCCAGCAGCCGCGGUAAUACGGAGGGUGCGAGCGUUAAUCGGAAUUACUGGGCGUAAAGCGCAUGCAGGUGGUUUGUUAAGUCAGAUGUGAAAGACCCGGGGCGUCAACCUCGGAAUUGCAUUUGAAACUAGGCAGACUAGAGUACUGUAGAGGGGGGUAGGAAUUUCAGGUGUAGCGGUGAAAUGCGUAGAGAUCUGAAGGAAUACCGGUGGCGAAGGCGGCCCCCUCGGACAGAUACUGACACUCAGAUGCGAAAGCGUGGGGAGCAAACAGGAUUAGAUACCCUGGUAG
rnacentral:rRNA from 1 species